AUUCGAUGUAGAAUGACUUUUUACAUAGGUAAUGACUAAAUUUUUUAACUAUUAACGAAAAUAACGAGAGAUUGGGAGCAAAAAGGGGAAAAAAAGGGGAAACUUCUAAAAUAGAUUGCACAUAUCAUUCCACACAAUUUAAGGGUCCAGUCAGUUCUAAUGGGAAGAACAACUUUCCAUUUUACCGAAAAGACUAAAUUUGUGAUGCGUUUUUUGUGGUUCGCGAGAUAUUUGCGAAAGAAAAACACACCCAGAUUGACUUUUAGCUUGAUUGUUGACUAGCAGACGACGGUAAGUAUUAACAGGCUUACAGUCAAUCUGCUUGUGGCAUGGCGAAUUGAUGGAUUGAAUGUUUGUGAUAGAUUUCAUCUCGUGAAACACUGUGUUUUUAUUUCAUAUGUUAACUAUUGCUGAAUUCUAAUAAGAAAAAAAACCAUGCAUCCAGUAUCACAACUGAUGGUUCAUUUACCCAUAAAAUGCCAGAUUGGCAGAUAGUUCAAAUGUGGGUGCUGAAUGAAUUGGUAAAUGUAAAAAAUGGAAUUGACAAUUAUUUUUAUCAUCAGACAUUGCUACCUUUCAGAAAAUAUGUCUUGAAGAUGACGACAAGUUGCCAGUUGAUUCAUAUGUCACACUUAUUGAUAUCCUAGCACACUAUACUUUAUUCGGCAUCCUAAAAAUGUUUCCCUUCUGACUUUCCCUCAUUUAAAAGGCAUUGAUGAUGUAAUGGUGCUAGGCGAACAUUUUACCAACAGAGAGAAAUUAAAGCUGCAACCGUAGAAAAUGGAAUUGACAAUUACAUUCAUCAUCAAACAAAUUUCAGUUUCAGAAAGUGGAGUUUUGUCUUGAAGAUGACAACAGUUGCCAGUCGAUUGACAUAACACCCUAAGUGAUAUCAUAGCAGGAGCUUGUGAUUUAUAGUUUGCUACCAUACUUUAUUCGUGAUGCCCUUUAUUUGACAUGCAAACAAAAAUUUCCCUUAUUAGAAUGCCUUGAUUUGAAAAAAAGGCACUGAUCUUAGACUUCCUGCAAAUUGGUACCCUGAAGCAACAACCUUGACAUGCAAAAUUGUAUUUCAUUCUGGCACAACAAAUAGCAGGAAAACAUAUCAUUUUCUUGAAAGGUUUUGUAAUUGAAAUCAGGAUUUUAUUAUGAUCCCUUAAUCUUCAAUUCCAAAUCAGGAGUUUAUUGUGGUCCCUUAAAACUUUUGGCAUCUAAAGUGUAUUGCAAAAGUAAUGAGCGUGGUGUCAAAUGUAAUUUAUUAACUGGAGAAAAAGACAUUUUGCUAAAGCUACUGGUAAAUCCCCUUUUUCCCAUGUAUCGUGCACUGUUGAAAUGAUCCAAUAGUGAAAAUCUUAUCAACUCUUCUCCUGUUAAGUGCGAUCAAACAUAAAUAAUAAAAACGACUAUUGUGUUA